rnacentral:rRNA from 1 species
CGGCAACGGGGAGGAANGAGGGGAUGAUGUCAGGUCAGUAUUGCCCUUACACCUGGGGCUACAAACACGCUACAAUGGCCGGUACAAAGGGCUGCCAAGUCGCAAGACGGAGCAAAUCCCAUCAAAGCCGGUCCCAGUUCGGAUAGCAGGCUGAAACUCGCCUGCUUGAAGUCGGAAUCGCUAGUAACGGUAGGUCAGCUAUACUACCGUGAAUACGUUCCCGGGUCUUGUACACACCGCCCGUCAAACCAUGAAAGUCGUGAG